GACGAACGCUGGCGGCGUGCUUAACACAUGCAAGUCGAACGGAAAGGCCCUGCUUGCAGGGUUCUCGAGUUGCGAACGGGUGAGUAACUCGUGGGUGAUCUGCCUUGCUCUUCGGGUUAAGCCUCUGCAACUGGGUCUAAUACCUGCUAGGAGCCAUUUUUAGCGUGAUGGUUGGAAAGUUUUUUCGGUUUAUGCUGAGCUGGCUGCCUAUCUGCUUGCUGGGGGGGCAAUGUACUACCAAGGCGGCUACGGGUGGCGGGACUGCGUGGGUGGACGGCCACAUUGGGUCUGAGGUACGGCCGAGACAGCUACGGGAGGGAGCAGUGGGGAAGAUUGAACAAGGGGCGCAGGGCGGAUGCAGCGGGGCCGCGUGGGGGAUGACGGUCUUCGGGUUGUAAAAUCCAUUCGCUAGGGACGAAGCUUAUUGUGACGGUACCUAGAUAAGAAGCACCGGCUAACUACGUG
rnacentral:rRNA from 1 species